CCCGGCACGGGAAGGCGAACUCUCGCGAGAAGGCCGCCAGCUUCGGGGGCAACUGCCGCGGGACCUCGAACUCUCGCGCGACAGCAACCAAUUCGUUAGAAGCGCGUUGCAGGCGCGCGAAACAUGGCGCGGCACGGGCCGCCGUUGAGCUGGCUGGACGCGCAGCAGGAGCGCGACGUGCGGGAGCUCGUCCGGGGUGUCGCCGGCCUCCAGGACGAAGCAGACCCCAACUUCCAGCUCGCCCUAAACUUCGCCUGGUCCAACUUCAGAUUUCAUCGUUUCUUGGAUGUGAACAGCCACAAAAUAGAAAAAACAAUCGAAGGAAUUUAUGAAAAAUUUAUCAUUCAUUCUGAUCUCAGCAAAGCUGCUAGCUGGAAGAGAUUAACUGAGGAAUUUCUAAACGCACCACUUCCCAGCAUAAAGGAAAUAAAGACAGAUGCACAUUAUUCCAUACUGUCACUUCUUCUGUGUCUGUCAGACUCUCCUUCAAACAGCAAUUAUGUGGAGACACCAAGAGAUAAAGAAGUGGAAAAGAAAGAUGAUUUUGACUGGGGAAAAUACUUGAUGGAAGGUGAAGAAAUGGACAUUGGUCCUUACAUGGACACACCAAAUUGGUCUGAAGAAAGUGAAGAGGAAAAUGAUCAGCUGCCCUUAAGCAGAGAGGACUCUGGAAUUCAGGUAGACAGGACACCGUUAGAAGAACAAGACCAAAACAGAAAACUGGAUCCUUGUAUCAGUUGGAAAGCAGAUGAGCCAGAUGACCGAAGCUGGCUGGAACAUCAUGUGGUCCAUCAGUAUUGGACAGCCAGGCCCUCCCAGUUUCCUCAUAGUUUACAUUUGCACUCCAAUUUAGCUGCUGUCUGGGACCAGCACUUGUACAGCAGUGAUCCAUUGUAUGUUCCAGAUGACAGGGUUUUGGUUACUGAGACUCAGGUUAUUCGGGAAACCCUAUGGUUACUUUCAGGAGUGAAAAAGCUCUUUAUAUUUCAGUUAAUAGAUGGGAAGGUAACUGUGAGAAACAAUAUUAUAGUAACUCAUUUAACACAUAGCUGUUUACGAUCUGUGCUGGAACAAAUAGCAGCAUAUGGCCAGGUUGUGUUUCGACUCCAGCAGUUCAUUGAUGAAGUCAUGGGACACAGUUCCGAGAGCAUGCUGCCUGGAAGUGGGUCUGUUCCUAAGAAGUCAACUGAAGCCCCCUUUAGAACCUACCAGGCUUUCAUGUGGGCCCUGUACAAAUAUUUCAUUAGUUUCAAAGAGGAACUUGCAGAAAUCGAGAAGUGCAUCAUCAAUAAUGAUGCUACAAUAACUCUUGCAAUAGUGGUGGACAAGUUGGCACCUCGAUUGGCUCAGCUCAAGGUUCUGCACAAAGUGUUUAGUACUGGAGUAGCAGAAGUUCCACCUGAUACUCGAAAUGUUGUCCGGGCCUCUCACCUGCUCAACACGCUGUACAAGGCCAUUCUUGAAUAUGACAAUGUUGGAGAAGCCUCUGAGCAAACCGUCUCCCUGCUGUUCUCUCUCUGGGUGGAAACAGUACGGCCUUACCUGCAGACGGUGGACGAGUGGAUCGUGCAUGGGCAUCUGUGGGAUGGCGCCAGGGAGUUCAUCAUCCAGAGAAACAAAAAUGUUCCAGUUAAUCACAGAGACUUCUGGUAUGCAACUUACACGCUAUAUAGUGUAUCAGAAAAGACAGAAAAUGAAGAAAAAAUGAGUGAUAAUGCUAGUGCGAGUUCCGGCAGUGACCAGGGGCCCUCCAGCAGGCAGCACACCAUGGUGUCCUUCCUCAAACCUGUCCUGAAGCAGAUCAUAAUGGCUGGCAAGUCGAUGCAGCUGCUGAAGAACCUGCAGUGUGCGGAGAGCACCACCUGCCAGGCAGGAGCCAGAGAUGCAGAAAGAAAAAGUUUAUACACUCUCUUUCUGGAAUCUGUACAGUCCCGUCUUCGACAUGGAGAAGAUUCCACUCCACAGGUUCUUACUGAGCAACAGGCAACCAAGGAGAACCUAAUGAAGAUGCAGUCCAUUGCUGAAAGGCAUCUUGAACUGGAUGAUGUUCAUGAUCCCCUGCUUGCCAUUAACUUUGCAAGGAUGUAUUUGGAGCAGAGUGACUUUCACGAGAAGUUUGCUGGUGGUGAUGUAUGUGUGGAUAGAUCAUCGGAAUCUGUGACAUGCCAGACUUUUGAGUUAACGCUGAGAUCCUGCCUCUAUCCUCAUAUUGACAAGCAGUAUCUAGAUUGCUGUGGAAAUCUCAUGCAAACUCUAAAAAAAGAUUACAGGUUGGUAGAAUACUUGCAAGCCAUGAGAAAUUUUUUCUUAAUGGAAGGAGGAGAUACCAUGUAUGACUUCUACACAUCCAUUUUUGAUAAAAUAAGAGAAAAGGAAACAUGGCAGAAUGUGUCUUUUCUUAAUGUCCAACUCCAAGAAGCAGUAGGACAGCGUUAUCCUGAGGAUAGUUCACGAAAAUGGAGGCCAGGCACGGUGGCUCAUACCUGUAAUCCCAGCACUUUGGGAGGCAGAGGCGCUGGAUCACCUGAGGUCAGGAGUUCGAGACCAGCCUGGCCAACAUGUUUAUCUAUAUCUUUUGAAAAUGUUGACACAGCUAAGAAGAAACUGCCUGUUCAUAUCUUAGACGGUCUGACCCUCAGCUACAAGGUCCCAUGGCCCGUGGACAUUGUUAUAAGUUUGGAAUGUCAAAAAAUUUAUAAUCAAGUGUUUCUUCUCUUACUGCAAAUAAAGUGGGCAAAAUAUAGUCUGGAUGUUUUACUUUUUGGUGAACUGGUUAGUACUGCGGAAAAACCACGACUUCAAGAAGGCCUUGUACGUGAACAAGACACAGUUGCUCAGUUCGGACCACAAAAAGAACCAGUAAGACAGCAGAUUCAUCGCAUGUUCCUCUUAAGAGUGAAGCUCAUGCAUUUCGUGAACAGCUUGCACAACUACAUCAUGACCAGGAUUCUCCACAGUACAGGGCUGGAGUUUCAACAUCAAGUCGAGGAAGCCAAGGAUUUAGAUCAGUUGAUUAAAAUUCACUAUAGGUAUCUGUCAACCAUCCAUGACCGGUGUCUGCUGAGAGAAAAGGUCAGCUUUGUGAAAGAAGCUAUCAUGAAGGUGUUGAACUUGGCCCUCAUGUUUGCAGACGGUUGGCAGGCAGGCCUGGGCACUUGGCGAAUGGAAUCUAUAGAGAAAAUGGAGUCUGAUUUUAAAAACUGCCAUAUGUUUCUUGUAACCAUUUUAAACAAAGCCGUCUGUAGAGGAUCCUUUCCCCAUUUGGAAUCUCUAGCGCUGUCACUCAUGGCUGGCAUGGAACAAAGUUAAAUGUCUUCAGUGUGAGAAAUACCUCCAACUUCAUCAUCAUACAUGUACAUUUCCACCAUGUGCAGCUGAAAAGGCUGCCUAUUGUCUGCAUUCGAUGCUGGAGCCUGCUGUCCACAAGGCUUGCGUCAGGAAAGGAAGAUGGAUGUAAAGUGAGAGGAAGGAACAAGCUGGCAUGCCCAUUGUGUGCUGGGGCCCCGCAGCGGGGACCCAAACCUGCCUCCGUUCUUGCUGCUUCUGGCCUUGGUGGUGUGGAGGUGCUGCAGAGCCUAGGGCCUCUCAUCGUGACGACGAGCCAGAGGCCUCCUUCGGGAGCCAGAGGAUCCAGAGAGUCAACGAAAAUAAAACUUCAGACUGUCUGAUUUAUUGUGCCAGGGAGGAAGUUGAGCCCUAGAGACUGUCAGGUUGCAUCACUGCAGUUCUCAGAUUCACUCUCUUCCCCAUUGUUCUUGUUCUGUAAAUGGCUAAGAGGGACCAGAGACCAGACCGCCCCGCUUCCAACCACUGGUUUUGUUAUACAUGAACCGCCUCUUUUCUGUCCUGUAUCUGACGCGGACCAGACGGUGCUCAAGACGCUAUCACUAGUACCUCUUCCAUGCGGAAUGUUAAAUACGCCUUGCUAGGAAGAAAAAGACCAACUUGGCUAAUCAGAUGCUCAUAACUGUGCAUGAAGUCUGACAGAGAGAGAGGUUCACAUGUUGGUACACUUGCCUAACCUUUGUCUGAAUAAGCAUUCCCAAACAUCUACACUUUGGAACACUGACCUCUGUUCUUUGACAUCUGUAGGCCGGGCGCGGUGGCUCACGCCUGUAAUCCCAGCACUUUGGGAGGCUGAGG